rnacentral:rRNA from 11 species
AACUAGAGUGGGCAUACCCUUAAAGCACCAAAUCCUGUCUGAUUGUAGAAGCUAAGCAGGGUCAGCUCAAAUUAGCAUUUGGAUGGAAGAUCACCAAGAUAGACAAGGUGCUAUAGGCU